rnacentral:rRNA from 1 species
GACGAACGCUGGCGGCGUGCCUAAUACAUGCAAGUAGAACGCUGAAGCUUGGUGCUUGCACCGAGCGGAUGAGUUGCGAACGGGUGAGUAACGCGUAGGUAACCUGCCUGGUAGCGGGGGAUAACUAUUGGAAACGAUAGCUAAUACCGCAUAACAGUAGAUGUUGCAUGACAUCUACUUGAAAGGUGCAAUUGCAUCACUACCAGAUGGACCUGCGUUGUAUUAGCUAGUUGGUGAGGUAACGGCUCACCAAGGCGACGAUACAUAGCCGACCUGAGAGGGUGAUCGGCCACACUGGGACUGAGACACGGCCCAGACUCCUACGGGAGGCAGCAGUAGGGAAUCUUCGGCAAUGGACGGAAGUCUGACCGAGCAACGCCGCGUGAGUGAAGAAGGUUUUCGGAUCGUAAAGCUCUGUUGUAAGAGAAGAACGAGUGUGAGAGUGGAAAGUUCACACUGUGACGGUAUCUUACCAGAAAGGGACGGCUAACUACGUGCCAGCAGCCGCGGUAAUACGUAGGUCCCGAGCGUUGUCCGGAUUUAUUGGGCGUAAAGCGAGCGCAGGCGGUUAGAUAAGUCUGAAGUUAAAGGCUGUGGCUUAACCAUAGUACGCUAUGGAAACUGUUUAACUUGAGUGCAAGAGGGGAGAGUGGAAUUCCAUGUGUAGCGGUGAAAUGCGUAGAUAUAUGGAGGAACACCGGUGGCGAAAGCGGCUCUCUGGCUUGUAACUGACGCUGAGGCUCGAAAGCGUGGGGGAGCAAACAGG